GGCGAGCGCUGCUAACAUGCAGUCGAACGAGGAAACGCAAUUUCGGGCGGGGAUUAGUGGCGAACGGGUGAGUAACACGUGUCGCAAUCUGCCCUGCACUCUGGGAAAAGCCCUGGAAACGGGGCUCUAAUACCGGCAUAUGACUGUCCGUCGCAUGGUGGAUGGUGUAAAGACUCCGGCGGUGCGGAUGAGCCCGCGGCCAAUCAGCUUGUUGGUGAGGUAGUGGCUCACCAAGGCAACAACUGGUAGCCGGCCUGAAAGGGCAACCGGCCACCCGGGGACGGAAACCCGGCCCAAACCCCUACGGGAGGCAGCAUUGGGGAAUAUUGCACAAGGGGCGAAAGCCUGAUGCACCGACCCCCCGUGAGGGAUGACGGCCUUCGGGUUGUAAACGUCUUUCAACAGGGAAAAAGCGAACGUGACGGUACCUGCAGAAUAAGCGCCGGCUGACUACGUGCCAGCAGCCGCGGUAAUACGUAGGGCGCAGGCGUUGUCCGGAAUUAUUGGGCGUAAAGAGCUCGUACGCGGCUUGUCACGUCCGUUGUGAAAGCCCGGGGAUUAACCUCGGGUCUGCAGUCGAUACGGGCAGGCUGGAGUUCUGUAUGGGAGAUCGGAAUUCCUGGUGUAGCGAUGAAAUGCGCAGAGAUCAAGAGGAAUGCCGGUAUCUAAGGAGGAUCUCUGGGCCGAUACUGACUCUCAUGAGCGAGUACGUGCGCAGCGAACAGGAUUAGAUACCCUGGUACUCCACGCCAUACACGGUGGGCACUAGGUGUGGGCGAUAUUCCCUGGUUGUCCGUGCCGCAACUGACGCAUUAAGUGCCCCGCCGGGGGAGUACGGCCGCCAGGCUAAUACUCACAGGAAUUGACAGGUGCCCGCACUUGCGGCGGACCAUGUGACUUAAUUCAACACAUCGCGUAAUCCUUACCACGGCUUGACAUACACCGGACACGUCUGGAUACAGGCGCCCCCUUGUGGUCGGUGUACAGGUGGUGCAAGGCU
rnacentral:rRNA from 1 species